AGAGAAACAGGGAGUGGAUAACGAGCUCUGCCUGCAAGGUGAGAAGAUAAGCACGUCUGUCGUCAGCAUGCAGUGUGCAUUUUUUUUGCACAGAAUUGACACUGGGCAGCCUGGAACAAAGUCAAGCUGAGACACUGCACACAAAUACUACAAUGGUUAUUCAGGGGUUUCAAAUAUUUCAGGUGGUUCAGAGCAUUUGCUGUUGGCAUGGGAAGUCAGCCUGACAAUACAUAAGGGAACAGGACCUACACUAUAUUAGUCCAGUUUAAU